CUAGGGUAUGGAUAUAUUAUGUCAAACCCCUAAUGUAAUUAUUCCUUCUUAUAUGAUUCUAUUGAGUCGUAUAGGAACACUUUCCUUUAUUACGCUCGAUACUUCGGCCGAAGAUUCCCAAAUCAUAUCUUAGAGUAUUCUUCCUCUCUAAUCGACGAUUAGAGAUUCCUUGUUGCGCAUUCACUUGCCUUCAUGACUAAGUGGCUUAACUUCCAAUUAUGCCGUGGACAUCCGCGAAUGGGGUGACUUUGACAUAAUCAAAGAUUAAGUACUUAGCCACAAGACAACGACGAUGCCUCAGGUCAAAGGAUUACUUACAUUAUUCCAACCAUUAGAGUUACUUGCUUGACA
rnacentral:lncRNA from 1 species